AACGCGAAGAACCUUACCUGGUCUUGACAUCCACAGAACUUUCCAGAGAUGGAUUGGUGCCUUCGGGAACUGUGAGACAGGUGCUGCAUGGCUGUCGUCAGCUCGUGUUGUGAAAUGUUGGGUUAAGUCCCGCAACGAGCGCAACCCUUAUCUUUUGUUGCCAGCGGUCCGGCCGGGAACUCAAAGGAGACUGCCAGUGAUAAACUGGAGGAAGGUGGGGAUGACGUCAAGUCAUCAUGGCCCUUACGACCAGGGCUACACACGUGCUACAAUGGCGCAUACAAAGAGAAGCGACCUCGCGAGAGCAAGCGGACCUCAUAAAGUGCGUCGUAGUCCGGAUUGGAGUCUGUAACUCGACUCCAUGAAGUCGGAGUCGCUAGUAAUCGUGGAUCAGAAUGCCACGGUGAAUACGUUCCCGGGUCUUGUACACACGC
rnacentral:rRNA from 1 species